rnacentral:rRNA from 1 species
GACGAACGCUGGCGGCGUGCUUAACACAUGCAAGUCGAGCGGAGCGGCGAACGGGUGAGUAACGCGUGAGUAACUGCCCCCCUCCCUGGGAUAACAGUUGGAAACGGCUGCUAAUACCGGAUAGUGGGGGAUGACUCGGGUCCUAUCAGCUUGUUGGUGGGGUAGUGGCCUACCAAGGCGACGACGGGGAGCCGGCCUGAGAGGGCGACCGGCCACAUUGGGCUGAGAUACGGCCCAAACUCCUACGGGGGGCAGCGGUGGGGAAUAUUGCACAAUGGUGUAAACCCUGAUGCAGCGACGCCGCGUUCGUAAUGACGGCCUUCGGGUUGUGAACGGCGUUCAGCCAUGACGCGUUAGUGGCAGAAGAAGCACCGGCUAACUCCGUGCCAGCCGCCGCGGUAAUUC